UCUGGAAGACAGGAGCAGAACCAGUUUACAAUGGCAGAUGCCUCAGAACAGCUCAGAGGGGUACACACUCAGCCAGGGGCAGGCAAGGCUAAGUCACUACAAGAGCUCUGCUGCCACCUAAUGGGAAUGGUGCUCAAUUAAAAAGUCUUAUUGGUAAGGGUCCUUCAACCUGGGUUGAACCAAGGGUCGAGAACCAAGGGUUGAAAACCACUGGCUCAAAGACUCGUACCAUUUGGAGUUUGCUCUGAUUCCUGUGUGGAGUUUGAGAUGUGAGCCCUCAGCUGUUCCUGCCACCCAGCUUUCUACAGUGCCCUCCCUGGGAUGGUGAUGGGCUCUCUGCCCUCUGGAGUCAUAAGCCAAAUAAACUCUUCCUUCCACAA